rnacentral:piRNA from 1 species
GAGACACUUGUGCCCCCUCCUUUGGCUA